rnacentral:misc_RNA from 1 species
UCUCCGUAGGUGAGCCUGCGGAGGGAUCAUUACAAGUGACCCCGGUCUUACCACCGGGAUGUUCAUAACCCUUUGUUGUCCGACUCUGUUGCCUCCGGGGCGACCCUGCCUUCGGGCGGGGGCCCCGGAUGGACACUUCAAACUCUUGCGUAACUUUGCAGUCUGAGUAAACUUAAUUAAUAAAUUAAAACUUUUAACAACGGAUCUCUUGGCUCUC